rnacentral:rRNA from 1 species
AGCUUCAGUAGCGUAUAUUAAAGUUGUUGCAGUUAAAAAGCUCGUAGUCGCAUUUCUGGCGAGAGGAUCCGGUCCGACCUUUUGGUGGGUUCUUGGGUCUCUUUCGCCAUCCUUGAGUGGUCCGUUCUGGCAUUAGGUUGUCGGAGCGUCAGCCGCUCAUCGUUUACUGUGAGAAAAUUAGAGUGUUCAAAGCAGGCUUAUGCCGUUGAAUAUAUUAGCAUGGAAUAAUAAGAUAGGACCUCGGUACUAUUUUGUUGGUUUGCGCACCAAGGUAAUGAUGAACAGGGACAGUUGGGGGUAUUUGUAUUUCGUUGUCAGAGGUGAAAUUCUGAGAUUUACGAAAGACAAACUACUGCGAAAGCAUUUACCAAGGAUGUUUGCA